GUUCUGAAUUCUGGAGGCUAGGACGUCCAAGACUGGUCAGCUCUGUUGGUGAGGGCCUCACACUGUGCAUGAUGGGAAACGGAAGGCAAUAGAAUCCUAACUCAAACAAGGUGGAAACAGGAUGCGGGCAGAUAAACAUCCAUCCUGGAUCUCUUAUGUCUCCGUAGGCUGACCUCUGGUGUCCCUAUGCUGGCAACUGUAGCAGUCACCGAGCAGAAGAGAGGCAAGACACUCAGAGGAAGAAGGGAAGACUCAAGGAAACACAAACCAAUGAGAUCAAAGAUGAAUAAGAAGCAAUUUGAGCCGAGGAGGAAACAGAUUGAGCCUAAGCAGGAAUUAAAAAGAAAUUAGAUAAGAG